rnacentral:SRP_RNA from 1 species
CAGGGAGGAUUGAGGGCAAAUAAAUUGCUAAUCCAGUCAGAUCUGAAAAGAAGCAGCUGUAACAAUCUUGUUUGGGUCUCAACUCCUUCCAUUAAU